GUGGGGAAUCUUCCGCAAUGGACGAAAGUCUGACGGAGCAACGCCGCGUGAGUGAUGAAGGUCUUCGGAUUGUAAAGCUCUGUUAAUCGGGACGAAAGAGCCUAGUGUGAAUAAUGCUAGGAAGUGACGGUACCGGAAUAGAAAGCCACGGCUAACUACGUGCCAGCAGCCGCGGUAAUACGUAGGUGGCAAGCGGUGUCCGGAAUUAUUGGGCGUAAAGUGCGCGCAGGCGGAUCUGCCAGUCUGUCUUAAAAGUUCGGGGCUUAACCCCGUGAUGGGAUGGAAACUACAGAUCUAGAGUAUCGGAGAGGAAAGUGGAAUUCCUAGUGUAGCGGUGAAAUGCGUAGAUAUUAGGAAGAACACCAGUGGCGAAGGCGACUUUCUGGACGAAAACUGACGCUGAGGCGCGAAAGCCAGGGGAGCGAACGGGAUUAGAUACCCCGGUAGUCC
rnacentral:rRNA from 1 species